UGAGGAAUUUUGCGCAAUGGGGGAAACCCUGACGCAGCAACGCCGCGUGAGUGACGAAGGCCUUCGGGUCGUAAAGCUCUGUCGGGUGGGAAGAACCCGCGGAUGGCGAACACCCAUCCGCGCUGACGGUACCACCGGAGGAAGCACCGGCUAACUCCGUGCCAGCAGCCGCGGUAAUACGGAGGGUGCGAGCGUUAUUCGGAAUUAUUGGGCGUAAAGAGCGCGUAGGCGGUUGUCUAAGUCGGAUGUGAAAGCCCGGGGCCCAACCCCGGAAGGGCAUCCGAUACUGGACGGCUUGAGUAUGGGAGAGGGAAGCGGAAUUCCUGGUGUAGAGGUGAAAUUCGUAGAUAUCAGGAGGAACACCGGUGGCGAAGGCGGCUUCCUGGACCAAUACUGACGCUGAGGCGCGAAGGCGUGGGGAGCAAACAGG
rnacentral:rRNA from 1 species